rnacentral:rRNA from 1 species
GACGAACGCUGGCGGCGUGCUUAACACAUGCAAGUCGAACGCUGAGGCUCUGCUUUUGUUGGGUGGUCGAGUGGCGAACGGGUGAGUAACACGUGAGUAACCUGCCCCUUUCUUUGGGAUAACGCCCGGAAACGGGUGCUAAUACCGGAUAUUCGCUGGUGUUCGCUUGGGGGUUGGGGGAAGUGGCGUUUGUUGGGGGUGGUCGCGUGGCUGAUCAGCUGGUUGGUGGGGGGGUGGGUGCCCAAGGGUGUGUCGGAUAGCCGGCCUGCGAGGGGGCCCGGGAACAUGGGGAGUGAGAUACGGCCCAGACUCCGACGGGAGGCAGCAGUGGGGAAUAUUGCGCAAAGGGCGCAAGCAUGAUGCAGCGACGCCGCGUGAGGGAUGGAGGCCGUCGGGUUGUGAACCUCGUUCGCUCAUGGUUAAGCCGCAACAAUGGUUGUGGUGACGGUAGUGGGUAAAGAAGCGCCGGCUAACUACGUG